rnacentral:rRNA from 1 species
AGAGUUUGAUCCUGGCUCAGAACGAACGCUGGCGGCAGGCUUAACACAUGCAAGUCGAACGGUCUCUUCGGAGGCAGUGGCAGACGGGUGAGUAAUGCAUGGGAAUCUACCGUUCUCUACGGAAUAACUCAGGGAAACUUGUGCUAAUACCGUAUGUGCCCUUCGGGGGAAAGGUUUAUCGCCAAGGGAUCGGCCCGCGUUGGAUUAGGUAGUUGGUGGGGUAAUGGCCUACCAAGCCGACGAUCCAUAGCUGGUUUGAGAGGAUGAUCAGCCACACUGGGACUGAGACACGGCCCAGACUCCUACGGGAGGCAGCAGUGGGGAAUCUUAGACAAUGGGGGAAACCCUGAUCUAGCCAUGCCGCGUGAUCGAUGAAGGCCUUAGGGUUGUAAAGAUCUUUCAGUGGGGAAGAUAAUGACUGUACCCACAGAAGAAGCCCCGGCUAACUCCGUGCCAGCAGCCGCGGUAAUA